rnacentral:rRNA from 1 species
CAGCCGCCACGGGAAUACGUAGGGUGCAAGCGUUGUCCGGAAUUAUUGGGCGUAAAGAGCGUGUAGGCGGCUCGACAAGUCCGCUGUGAAAGUCCAGGGCUCAACCCUGGAAUGCCGGUGGAUACUGUCGAGCUAGAGUCCGGAAGGGGCGAGUGGAACUCCUGGUGUAGCGGUGAAAUGCGCAGAUAUCAGGAAGAACACCAAUGGCGAAGGCAGCUCGCUGGGACGUGACUGACGCUGAGACGCGAAAGCGUGGGGAGCGAACAGGAUUAGAUACCCCUGUAGUCCCUGUCUCUUAUAC